rnacentral:rRNA from 1 species
AGCCUGAUGCAGCCAUGCCGCGUGUGUGAAGAAGGCCCUAGGGUUGUAAAGCACUUUCAGUAGGGAGGAAAGGUGAUGGUUUAAUACGCCAUUACUGUGACGUUACCUACAGAAGAAGGACCGGCUAACUUCGUGCCAGCAGCCGCGGUAAUACGAGGGGUCCAAGCGUUAAUCGGAAUUACUGGGCGUAAAGCGUACGCAGGCGGUUCAUUAAGCCAGAUGUGAAAUCCCCGGGCUCAACCUGGGAAUUGCAUUUGGAACUGGUGAACUAGAGUCUUGUAGAGGGGGGUAGAAUUUCAGGUGUAGCGGUGAAAUGCGUAGAGAUCUGAAGGAAUACCGGUGGCGAAGGCGGCCCCCUGGACAAAGACUGACGCUCAUGUACGAAAGCGUGGGGAGCAAACAGGAUUAGAUACCCUGGUAGUCCACGCCGUAAACGAUGUCUACUCGGAGUUUGGUGCCUUGAGCACUGGGCUCCCAAGCUAACGCAUUAAGUAGACCGCCUGGGGAGUACGGCCGCAAGGUUAAAACUCAA